rnacentral:tRNA from 1 species
GCCUUGAUGGUGUAACGGCAGCACACUGAUUUCGUCAUUUCAGAGGUGCCGGUUCGAUUCCGGCUUAGGGCU